AAAGGGCCACACCAGGGGAGCGUUUAUAAAGUGGGUCACAAGGGAGCAAGACCAAGGGUAGACUGCAGGUGGAUCAUCUAAAGCUGGGAGCUGAAGGUGAGAGGCUAGCAAAAGCAGCUGUGCACAAGCCCCUGGAGGAGUGAGAGGGAAUCAACAAACAAGCUUGAUAGUAGCAGGGGAGAGGAUUUCUGGGAGAGGAUGUUAAUGUCAACUGUUUCAUGACUUUAAGGUAGAUGGGGUUGCAGCUGAUGAUCUCCCAGAGAGCAGCUCCUGUCCAGUAAUGAGAAAGGACAGCUGGCUAAAGGCUAUGACAGAAUGAAGUGGCCCUGCUCAUCAUGAUGGUAAAGAGGAGAAGCUUCAGGAGUGGCUUUAGAAGAAAGAAAAUUCAUUCAUAAUUGUAUCUGAAGUUUAUUUUUUCAGAUCCAUUACAUAAUGUAUGCCUUUCAGAUGGAUCACAUACUGAGCACCAGAAUUGUAAUAAGAUGGGUUAUUCGGGGGCUUUUAAUAAAGGGAGGCAUAGCAGAGACCUGACUUUUAGCAAAGGCAAAAAACCUAUCAACUAACUAUCUCAUUAUGAAUUAUGCUAUUCAUUUCAUUUAUCAUUUAUACUCAAUACUGGAUUGAAAGAAGCUUUCAUAAGCAGUUCUAUAAGAGUUAAGUUCAGGCUUCGUAGAACAAAAAAGCACGGCAUUUUUAGACAAAGAUACCAUUUUUUACUGGAUGAGGUCUCCACAGCUUGAGGAAAGAGAGUCAUGUUUUGGUGGUUAAGUCUUUGGGGAAGACAGAAAUGGGUGUUAAGGAGAAUUUUUGCGUCUCCAAAGCGUUUAUAAUAUGUAAGACUAAUAAGGAGAAGGCAGGCAGUCCAGAGAAAGCACUGAGUAAAUUGCAUGUUGUGGAGGAGUGCUUGGGGAGUUUUGAGAGGGCCAGAAAUAGAACUGUUUCUCAAACUUUCUAGGCAGACCAGGUGCCACCCAGUACAGGACUGUUUUCUCUAUGCACAGCUGGCUGUGGGUGGAACAGUUGUACCCACCGAGGCUGUGAAUUGAAAACCUAUUUCUUUGAAAUUGCCUUGGUUAGAAAGUAUUUUCUUCCUCAGUUCACCCACCAGUCAGCAAAGGGCACUGGAUAUUUUCCAUGUCUAGAACCACUGAGGACAGGGAAGCUCUCUGCUGCUCCCUUCCACUGGAUCCACCCCUCCAUCUAUAAUAUUUUAUACUUCAUUAAAUAUAUUUGUUUAACCUUGACAGCAGGAAUUCUGUCUCUGUUUUACAGAGGGAGGACCCAAAGGCUCAAAGGGGUUGAAGGAAAUUAUCCUGACUACUGAGAGGUGAUGGAGAGGCGCAGUGCAUAGGGAUGGACGGUUUGGGGGCAAAGUGCCAGUAGCAAUUAUUUACUCCUCAUAUACUCCCCCCCAUUUUGGGGGAGCAUAUCUCAGGCAUGUGGAAGUUACCAGGCCAAAGAUUGAACUCGCACCACAGCAGUGACCUGAGCCACAGCACUGGCAACACCAGAUCCUUAACCCACUGAACCACCAGGGAACUCCCCUAUACCUCCGCCUUUAGGGGGAAUUCCCCUAUACCUCUGCCUUUAGUUCUUCUACCCAAGAAAGAAGAACAUCAUAUUCUAGUCAAUAUUUCGUGGGACACUUGGUACUUUUACCAAUGGUAAGGUCUCUGUGGCCCAGGGACAGAAACAAGUGAUCCUCUUUCUUCUUCAAGUUCUUAGAAGGUGGCUCUCUUCUGACUUUGUCUCUUGUCAUACAUACAUACAUCUGGGCAAGUGGGGCAGCCAGUCAUGCCAUCCUCACCACAGAGGCUGUGGGCGAGAUGGUUAAAGGUGAGUUCUGGAGGGCAUAACACCCAGGUUCAAAUCUCAAAUCUGCACUUACUUUUCUACAGUUGCUCUGCUCAUGGUUGUGUAGCAAAAGCCAGACAAAACCCACCACACAGCACAGUGGCUUCGUGGUGACUGUGUUUCCCAGGGUGUGCAAGGGCAUUCGUCAGAGCAGAGAAGAAGUAAUUAGAGCCUUUCUUGAUUACUUUUCAAAUAAAAAGUAUAGCUUCUCUAAUAGUCAGUAUAUGAAUUAACACCGGCUCCCACACCCCUUGACAUCUCAGCCAGUGACCCAAGCCCUUGAGGCAUCCUGAAGGAAAAAUGGAAGUUUCUCAAGUGGAGGUGUUGACAGUGCUGCCCUCACUCAUUUGAUUUUAUGAUCUUGUGACAAAAGUGUGGUUUAUUUGCCACUUAUUGCCACCAAGGUGGUUAUUUUCAUAAAAGCAAGACCUGGAAAUAUUAUUUUUAAAUGCUUUGCAGUGAGAAGGGAAGUGACUUUGAAAAUCUCUUCCACACAAAGCUUUGCCAUUUAUCUUGCAGCAAAAUAUUUAAAACAGUUGUUCAAAUGUAAAAGUUAUAUAUUUUUACUUUAUGAAAGGGUGAUAACUAUUUUAAAUUUUCUAAAUAUUUUUGUGAGGGAAAUGGCCUUCAACAGUGCGCUAUUUAGGAUAUAUAUAUCCCACAAAAUCUGUCCUUCUUGAAGGUAAAGAUGACAUUUAAACAAUAAGAAAGUAAAUGCUACUUUUAAAAAACAUCUCACUACAGUGAGAACACUUCAAAAGUGAAUAUUUGCAAAUGCUUCCACUGCUGUGUGAUUUUAUUACUAAAAAUAAUGUCACCUAUAAAAACCCUUAUAUUUACAAACUCUAUGUACUUAUAGGAUGGGGAAACUGAAUUUCCUAACCUGCUUUAAAAAUCAUCCAAAUGACAUUAUUCAGUGAAUUCUGAACUGGUUUUCAAAAAUCAGGAAAAAAUGCCUUUCAGUUUGUGUGUAAGAACAACUCAUUAAUAUUAAGGAAGAUGGAAAUUUUGCUGUCUAAAUUUUGGCGAAAAAGUUUGUAUAAUUGGUAUAUGGCACUGGAUUUUAUGAUUUUGUAAGCAUAGCUAGUGAUAUACUUUUAUUUGAAACUAUGCAUAUUUUGAGCUGUCUUUGCAAUAAUGAUUGCACAUAAGAUCAAAUAUUCAAAUAAACUGGACUCAAUACCACACCUUCAAAUAGCCGAAUCACAAAGUUUAAGUCAAAUAAAAAAAAUAAUAAAACUUUUUUUUACCACAUUUAUUACAGACAGUAUUG
rnacentral:lncRNA from 1 species